rnacentral:rRNA from 1 species
UUCCGCGUGUGCGAUGAAGGCCUUCGGGUUGUAAAGCACUUUUGGCAGGAAAGAAAUCGCAUGGAUUAACACUCUAUGUGGAUGACGGUACCUGCAGAAUAAGCACCGGCUAACUACGUGCCAGCAGCCGCGGUAAUACGUAGGGUGCAAGCGUUAAUCGGAAUUACUGGGCGUAAAGCGUGCGCAGGCGGUUCGGAAAGAAAGGUGUGAAAUCCCAGGGCUUAACCUUGGAACUGCACUUUUAACUACCGAGCUAGAGUAUGUCAGAGGGGGGUGGAAUUCCGCGUGUAGCAGUGAAAUGCGUAGAUAUGCGGAGGAACACCGAUGGCGAAGGCAGCCCCCUGGGAUAAUACUGACGCUCAUGCNCGAAAGCGUGGGGAGCAAACAGGAUUAGAUACCCUGGUAGUCCACGCCCUAAACGAUGUCAACUAGCUGUUGGGGCCUUCGGGCCUUAGUAGCGCAGCUAACGCGUGAAGUUGACCG